rnacentral:rRNA from 1 species
AUACGGAGGGUGCGAGCGUUAAUCGGAAUUACUGGGCGUAAAGCGUACGUAGGCGGUUUGCUAAGUCAGAUGUGAAAGCCCCGGGCUUAACCUGGGAACUGCAUUUGAUACUGGCAGACUAGAGUAUGAUAGAGGGGGGUAGAAUUCCUGGUGUAGCGGUGAAAUGCGUAGAUAUCAGGAGGAAUACCAGUGGCGAAGGCGGCCCCCUGGAUCAAUACUGACGCUGAGGUACGAAAGCGUGGGGAGCAAACAGGAUUAGAAACCCUAGUAGUCC